UUUCCCACAAUGCCUUUGGUGAGUGACGUAGACUGACCUGUAGCGACAACAGACGACAGCAACGAGCUAACAUGACAGACAAAAAGCAGACCGUCGACUUGGGUUUGCUGGAAGAGGAUGACGAAUUUGAAGAAUUUCCAGCCGAAGACUGGACGGGCCUGGAUGAGGAUGAGGAUGCUCAUGUGUGGGAAGACAACUGGGAUGAUGAUAACGUUGAGGAUGAUUUCUCAAAUCAGCUGAGAGCGGAACUGGAGAAACAUGGUUACAAGAUGGAGACUUCCUAGUGGUUUUUGAGAUCUUCCAACGCUCGUUGGCAUGGACAUUCAUGUUUCCGUAUUGGUUUAUGACUCAUCCCACGAAAACAUUAGAGUUUAUCGAUUCCUGUUUUGUUGUAAGUAAUAUUGAUUAAAGAAAGGAGUGAAAACACA